GAGAGAGGAGAGGAAAAAAAAAAAUCUCUUCCAAAAAAGCACCGGUCUGCAGAUGUCUGCAAGAGAACCCACGAACCCUCCUUCUUCUACGGCAGGGCAGGUAUUUUACAAAUGUACAUAUGAAUAUGUCAGCUGAAUAGUCAGGAGAAAGAAAAGACGGAACAGAGGACUGGCCACAAGCCAAGGAAGGAAUAGUCUGUAUCACCAGUUUAUCCAUAGCAUUCAACAAGGAAUUCUCAUCUGCAAGACAGAUGCCAAGCAGAAGUCUUUUGUUAGAGAAAAUUUUCAUUUUCGUUAAUAUUCACAAGGUCUCUGUGAAGAGAGGGAUGUUCCGUAAAUCUCCAAGCAAGGUAGGUGUUUCAACUAGAGUCUCCCACCCCAAAGCAGUGGGGUAAAAAAGUAGGCUAAGUACAUUCUUUCACAUUAGUUUAAUUAGUACUUCAAGCUCAGAAUUAUAAAUGUUAAUAGAGAGAGAGAGGUCCAAACUCUAUUCUCUCUGAAUACUUAUAAGUAUAAUAAAAUCCACAGAGUAAAAAAAGAAUAUUUUUAGGGCUAGAUGGUAUUACAGUUUAUCUACUAUCUAAUUUUAUUUUUUUAACUAGAGAAAGUAAAAUUCCUUGCUUGAACUUAUUUUUCUCCCUUUGGGAUUUAUGAUUGCUGCCAGAAAAACACCACACAAUGGGCUCAGUUGGCAUUUCAAGUGCAAAAGGUUGUGACUGAGGUAUAGUAAAAGUAUGCUGGGAGUUUCCAUUAGAGCUUCCUGUGGUAGCAAAUAAAUCCCAUCCCAUUCACACCUGAUAGGCUGAAAUAGAUAUCCACAUGUCAUCUGCAGUCAGUUUUUAAGGGGCAUGAUAAACUGUUGGGACUGCUGACUUAAGAGCAAAAUUUUCUUCCUUGCUCAGAUUUUGGCAUUUUUCUGGUGGAUCUCUAGGAACUUCAGAUCCCCUGCCUUAUAACUGUAAUUGUGGUUUUCUUCUUUUUUUUUCUCAAUAGAGCUGUCACUCUCAAGUCUAAUAAAAAACUCUCUGUCUUCCUUUUCUGGGCUUUCGAGUUUGACAGUUUCAUGUCAUAACUUUGUUCCACAAUAAAAAUAAAAAAAGCUCUGGGUGUUAAGGAAGGCCUUGGGAAACUGUAAGUGAUAGAGUCAGCAUUUACAGAACAUAUCACAACAGGUCUGACUGACCUUGGCAGCAACAGGAGAUCACCAUUUCUCAUGGAUGAGCUUUUCUUGAAUGUCUGUCUUUUAUGCUGUAUAAAGCAGAAAUACCUUUUCUGGGUCAAGGCUACUGCUUUCUGUUUCUCUUACUCUUUAACAGAGAUUGUCUACUACUGUCAAGUAUUAUCUGUUUAAGAAAUUUCUCUCAAUCCCCUGUGUCUUGUUCUAUGGUAUCUUAAGAUAAAUCUACAUCACUGGUAUUAUUUUAUUGGUAUUAUACAUAGUAUUAUACUAUUUUGUUGAGGAUUAUUUGUUUGAGGAUUUUGAAUGGUUUACUUUUAUCACAGUCAAGCUGCAAAGAUUAAUGUUUGUGGACGUCCUCCAAAUCAUCUCCCUUUACUCUGGCACCCAGAGUGUGUAAUCAACACUGUUUUCUUGUUGGAAUGGCCAUUGUCCUAUUUUUUAGCAGUUGGCAGGAGUACCAGUUGGAGGGACUGAAUAGUCUGUGUUAGCUGUUAAUCUUUAAAAAUGGACUCUUCAGUAGCAUGUGUAAGUAUAACAGAAUUAAAUAUACAUAUUUAUCAGAUGCUACGAAACAUGUGGAGGGGAACUUCGGCCACAUUUGGAAUUAUCAAGUUUCUAACAAUUUGUUGAAUGCAUAUAGGUUUAUAAUAGCUGCAUGGACACAUUUGCCUGACUGCAUAAUACACUGAUAAUAAUUAAGUAAAAACAAAGAAUAAUUAGAAAUAAAAGAGAAUGAAAAGAAACUGACACUCAUUUACAGUUGUAGAAUAUAGGGGAAAAAAAACCCCACCAUCCUCCUAAGAUACCCCUCCCUCCUCACAGUGGAAUUUCCAUGCUUUGACGUCUUCUUGAGAAGACAUAAUUUGCAAUUUGCCCAAGAGGUCAGCAGGUGCAAACUACUGUACCAUACUGUAGGAGGUGGUUUCAAGGCUGACAGCACCCUGGAAGGAGGAUCUGCAAGCAUCUUACUUUCUUUUGAAUAAAGUGUGACCUCCACUGGUCGUUGUUGUAUUCAGGAAAAGGGGAAAAAGCCCAUCAUGGAAGAAGGCCUCAAGGUAUUUUGUGGUACUGUCAACUGCAAGUUUCCUAUUUAGUUCACUGGAGAAAUAUGUAAUAGGUAUUUACAUAUGUUUAAGUGGAGCUGCAUAGGGGGCAGGGAUAGAGCUGAAGCAUGUGCUUGCACUUGCUGAGAGUCAUGCAUGUCCUACCUCUGCCUGCCUGUCUCUCGAGAGCGUUGAAAAAUAAAAGUAAGAAUAUCUCGUUGCCAAGACUAGUACAUACGUACUUUUGCUUCAUUUUUCACUUCUGUGUUUCUAUAAUCA